GAGAAAUAUAACGAAGUAACAGUGGAAGCUAAAACAUCAGACUGAUCUAGACACUGAAGAAAUUGAUGUCACUGCAAUCUGGCCAAAAUGAUACAACUAUAUUGAACUAGCCUACUGUAAUGAAGCUGCAGAACAACACAGAGACUCUGAGGACAUCAACACAGAAAAUGAAGGUUCCAAAGAGAUGUCUGUCCAGAUGAGGGUGCAUCAACUUUACCUUUGCUGACAACAGUUAACUUAACUCAAACCAUUUAAGGAAAUCGGUUGCCUUAAACCAUUAAGUUUAAA